UGCAGAGCCAGGCGGCUGCUGGCGUGUGCCUUGAGGCAGGAGGAGCGCGGGCAACCAGACACUGGGUCUGAGCACCAGCUUUUAGACUCCGCUCUGUCUGGACCCAGCUGCUACCUUCGGGCCGUCUGGGGUGCAGUUUCUCCUCUGUGAAAUGGAGAUGAUAAUGGCGGGCUGUAGAGAGCUGUUGUGAGGACUAAACAACUUGGAAACUGAGACACAGCACAGUGUGGGACAGAGCAGGGACUCGGAACCACGGCUGAGCAGAAGGGCCUCCAGGUCCUGCCUCUGUGCCUUCCUCCCCGCCUGCUCACCUUUCCCAGAAGGCAGCCUGGGGCUCAGGCUCUUGGGCCUGUGGUCUGUGGCUGCAGCCGCCUGCCCGCCUGCCCCUUUCUGGAGCUCCAUCCUACCUCCCUUGUAAUCCACAGAGGCAACCCCUCCUCCCCCUGGAAAGGACUUCCGUUCUCUCUGCACCAUGGUUUCCUUGGACACUACACAUGACAGUACUCAGUAAACAGCCCUGUGAGCGUGGAGCGUGGAGGGCACCUCAUCACCGGGUUCCAGAGGAGGAAAUGGAGGCUCAGAGAUGAAGUCAUUAGUCCAGGUUCUCACAGCUGGAGCUGGUUCCUGGUUAAUGGCCAGACUUCACUUUGGUGCACUUGGGAAUCACCUUUGAAGUUGCUCUUCUUGGCUCCAGGAACGGACAUGCCCUUCCCAAAUUAUCCCUGGUAAUUGAGGUGGCGAAUUAAUCACAGCUUUGUGGUUCCACUUUCCCCGCCGGCAGUCCUGUGCUGCUGCCCGGAGAGGGAGGCCAAGCGCGAGCACCGGGUAAUGAUUUUUGUGUGCUGGGAUGAAGCCACGGGAGGAGGUCAGGCCGGCUCUGCUCUGUGCGUGCACGUGUUUGGACAUGCACGUGUGUGUGCGCGGGGAGACCGGGUCUGCUGGUGUCGGGAGUCAUCGGGCAAGGUCGGGCCCUUCUCCAUGGAGCACAGUGUCUAGAGCGUGUCCCAGUGUUCCCUAGCUGGGUCACCGAGGCCCAGUUGCCUCUUCCCUCUGGGCUUCAGUUUUCUUCCUGUAAUCUUCGCCUCGUUCCUUGUCUUUAUGAGGUGUCUGGGAACAUCCAGUAAGACCAUGAGGAUGAAACUGGAAAGGGUGGGUUACCCAUGCAGGCAGAAUGGCCGUGUGGUUAUAAUGCAGACUGCUUCUAUUCAAGUCCCUGUUUACUAGCUGCAUGACCUUGGCAUCAUCUCUUUGGGCCUGUUUCCUCAUCUGCAAAAUGGGGAGAACAUCAGAAGCUGUUGAAGUUUACCCCGUCUAAGUUUCCGUCAGAUGCCAGACAGCAAUAUUUUAUGUAUCAUAAUAAAGAAUAAAGACAGCCAGUGGGCCUUGGCUCAUCUCAGAUGGGGCGCAGGGUGUAGAGCAGUGGAAACGCCCCAGGAAGGUGUGCGGUGGUACCAUGGGAUCAUGACGAAGGGACACUGGGCUAAGGCAGCUGAGACCCCACAGCGGAGGACUGGGGAGGACACAGAUUCUCAAAGGGUGGGUUACACAGCACGGACACCACGUCUGCCUCUGGUUCUACUGGUGCCACGUGGCCCCAGCUCCCAUCAGCAAGACUGUGAUGCUGUAUUAAGUCAUGAGCUGGAACUGAGCUGGGAAAGGAGGAAGGGACGGGGGCAAGGAGAACAAACCCUAAAUUGACGGAACUCACCCUGAUCUGCUCGAGACAAACAAGUCCCACAGACUGAAAUGAACCCAAAGUGACUGAUGUUGAUAAUUGGCUGGUUUAGAUUUCCACCACCGGGGAAGAAGGAGCUUGAAACAUGAACUACAUUUGAUUGUGGAAAAUAAAGUGGUGUUCCUCGCAUGCCUGGGUUUAUGUACCGGGGAGUCCACACCCACUGCAUGGCCCGGGAACAGGCGAGCAUUCACGUGUACACUGAUGUGCAAGCAUGGCACCCCUCAACUGUA